GUAUAUAUAGGGAUCUUCCGAUAAAAUUGGAACGAUACAGAGAAGAUUAGCAUGGCCCCUGGACACGCACAAAUCGAGAAGUGUGCCAAAUAUGU
rnacentral:snRNA from 1 species